rnacentral:tRNA from 1 species
GCCUAUGUGGCUCAGUUGGUGGAGCGUCUGACUUUUGUUCAGGCCAUGAUCUUGUGGUUCGUGGGUUCAAGCCCCCGCGUUGGGCU